GACGAACGCUGGCGGCGCGCUUAACACAUGCAAGUCGAACGGAAAGGCCUGCUUUCCCUUGUGGAUUGCGGGUACUCGAGUGGCGAACGGGUGAGUAACACGUGAGUGAUCUGCCCCCAACUUGGGUAUAAGCCUGGGAAACUGGGUCUAAUUCCCGAUAGGACUGCAGGGUGGUGCCUGUGGUUGAAAACGAUGUUCUAGUGGUUGGGGAUGAGCUCGCGGCCUAUCAGCUUGUUGGUGGGGUAAUGGCCUACCAAGGCGGCGACGGGUAGCCGGCCUGGGAGGGUGGGCGGCCACAUUGGGACUGAGAUACGGCCCAGACUCCUACGCGAGGCAGCAGUGGGGAAUAUGGCACGAUGGGCGGAAGACUGAUGCAGCGACGCCGCGGGGGGGAUGACGGCCUUCGGGUUGUAAACUCCUUUCGACCGCGAGGAAGCCACCUGGUUGGAAGGGUGGUGACGGUAGUGGUAGAAGAAGCACCGGCUAACUACGUG
rnacentral:rRNA from 1 species